rnacentral:lncRNA from 1 species
GAACAGUCCAGAUUUUCCUGCACAAUUAAGCUGCAGACCCUCCACUUUAAAAUCGUCCCCUGACCUUGAUAUUAAGCUAAAACCUACGAAGUUGGUACACAAAUCGAAGGGAAUUUUGUUAGCUUUCCAUAGCAACAAACGGAUCUUAAAUCAGAGUUACAGAGAAGGAGCAGUUACCGGUUUAGGGAAGACAUGUCCAAAACACGAAUUACCCUAGACUUAAUCCAAAAUUCCAACUUGAUUCCAUUCUAAAUUCUAAUUACAACUCACAUCUUUCUUCAAGCCUCAGCCCCUUCUAAAUCAUUCAAGCUUCUAUCUUCCAACUUCAAGCUUUUCUAACCAACACUCAUUUAUUGACAUAAAUUAAAUGCAUGUACCAAACAUAGCAAAUCAGAAUUUGGGGUUAAGGAUUAUGAUUUUGGUCAUAGCAAGAAAAAGGAAGAAUAGAGUAGCUUACUAUUUCUCACCUUGAGUUUCCACCAUCCAUACCCUAUUGAUUGUGAAAAUCAACACAUGCAGCUAAGAAUUAAAAGUGGAAAUGGAAGCUCGGAGUGAGAGAGAUUCUGGCGUGAGAACAAGAGAGAGUUUGAGGGAAGUUUGUUGCUUUUCCUACUUUGUGAAGUUUAAGAAGAUGAAUGGGUUGUUGUUGUUGUCUUGCGUGUGAGAGAAAGAAGAGAUUUGCUGAGUAGUUGUCCUAACCUUGUGAAAGAGGGAAGUGUAUGAGUGGGUUUGGAUCUUGACUUCUGGUUUAAUGAGCGUGAGAGAGAGAGGGAGAUACAAGAAAGGUCAUUUUCUUUACUAAAAAUAGAUCUAUGACAAAUGAAAGUGGAUUUGUCCUCAGAGUCUUAAAUAAUCACUACAAAUAAUCACCCUUCACCUUCCUUAUUAUUACUUGUUUGCCAUGUUGCCCCUUAAUUCACAAUUCCUUAUUUCUAUUAAAUAGAAAUAUUUUUAAUUGAUCUCUAAUAGUUGACUCUAGUUAAUAUUCUUCCAUUAAUUAAAGUUGGGAUAUUACAAUUUAUCCCCCUUAAAAGAAUUUCGUCCGCGAAAUUCAAGAACUUCUUCAUUCAUCACCAAGUAAAUUAUCUAUAUCCCCGUCCAGACUCUAAACUUCACCGCUUAGCAAAUUAUAAUUUUGUCGUCCAAGGUCACUAAUCAUCAGUCUCUACUGCGUUUAGUAGUUUCUUAUGUUACUUUUUGAAAUCCUACUUGUCCAUUUCAUGACAUUGAACACAUAAUCUCUGCGUAUAAUACAACUUCUAGAUUCGCGUCCAUCUUAUAUUAACUCUUUCUAUUAUCUUACUCGACUCAACACUCAUAACACAACAUUGCAUUUUUCUUUACUCUUCAUUUUAUCAUCGGAGCGUAUUUAAUCUUACUAGUUCACCGCGUAAAAUUUCUUAGUCGAACCAUUUUUCCUUCACAAUCUUUGCUCUCAAGGGAAUUGCAUUACUAACAAUCUUAGGUGCAAACAUGAAUAUAUAUAUGCGUAACUUACUCGUCAUACGUUCUUUAAUCAUCUUACGAUCAUCCACAUCUAAAACCUUUGGAAUAGAACUUUCCUCUCCCAAAGAGAUGUUGGCCUAAAACCAAACUACUGACUACAUUCUCAAUCAAUACUUGCUGCACACUCUGAUUUCAACUACGAACUGUCAUAUUCUGACUGCGACAUUACAACAUUGGUCUAUAAUUCUUGAACACUGUCACACGUCGUUUCAUCUUAUUCGGUGUCACUUCUUCUAUUAUUACUCCUCGUAUCAUAGACAUCACAAGGCAAUGUUUGCAUCACUUCGUGACGUCAGGCGUACCACUACAUUCAUAAUAUUGUACCACAAUCUUACAUGGGCGCAAUACGUCGACACUUACCAUUACACUUGAUUCUGAUAACUGAGUUGUUCCAACAACGAUCUUUACUUCGAUCAGUGAUAUUCUUCAAGAGUUAGUUUCUGUUUGAAAUUAUUACUUCACCGACCCCAGCUACAAUCCAUCUUCUUUUAGUAUUGCUUCCUUUUUUUUUGAAGAAGCUAAAUUAGCCCACUCAAAUUGGCACCAGAGAGAAUCGAACCUCAGACUUCAAGAGGAGCACACUCCCAGGUCCCAAGCCAAUACCAAUGCACCAACCCAAGUGGGUUUAAUAUUGCUUCCUUUAUUGCUCCCGACAAUUACUUUAUUACUCAUCAACUUCAUUAAGUCGGUAUCUGGCCUGGUUGGGGCAUACACUAAAACAUGUGACACUAUCUGCUAUUACGAGGUUAUCUUAAGGGUACGAGCUUAAUAUUCAUACCAAUUAAUCCAAAAAUUUCUUGUCCCAUAGCUUAUGAUUCUGCUAAUCCUAUUAGCAUCUCUUAAUACUAUACCUUCUGAUACUAGUCCUUAACUCCAUUAAGGUAAGGUUUGGGUUUGACAGAAUUGUCUGAUAGUCUUACAAUAGAGAAUUGGUUGAAACAAACUGAUUGCUAAAGGAAAGUCAAACACAAUUGUCUUGGUUUAUUGAUGGUGAUACUACUACUAAUUAAGUUGCCUAACUUUGGGCUGCUUGAUGAUGCUAAUUAAUCGGUCAUAAAGAUAUCUGAUGGUUUUCCAAAGAAUUAUUCAUGUUUAUUGGCUAACAUUUCCAGACUUACAUUGGUCUAACUUGGUUACAGUUACAUAAGGAUAACACUCUAAAUUUGAACAUGAUUCGCUCAUAUUGAGGAACUAGAAAGGUUCGCAACUUAAUUGAGUUCUUACACUAAAUGUAAGUGACGGGUCUCAAGGCACAGAGAGGAUUUACCUCUCUACUAAAAUUAGAUAGGUUCGUGGAACUUAAUGUUCAUAACAAAAUGAGGCUUACAGAUUAUGAAUCAUGCAUCGCAUCGAUUCGAUGAAUUUAGCUGAAUUAGCGUUCACGCAAAAGGUAGGUAACUAAUGAUCCUGAUUCGGCCAGAUUAUGUUCACACUUCAUGAUUUCCUUCCAAUGACAAAUCUCUUGAAUUGGAACAGACCUGAUUCUCAUUAGCAUUUAGCUGAUCAACUCUCACAAAAGAUUUGACUGAAUAUGUUGGGUUUUUUUUUUUUUAGCUAAGAGGUUUGAAUACGGAAAAAUAUUUGGCGACUUGUUGAAGUUAGUACUAAAAUGCAUUACUUGUUCCCGAAGCAAAUGAUAAUGACAUUUAAUAUGCCGCCUUAGGUGACUGAUAGCAUUAGAAUUAAAUUCCAAUCAUUAUUCUAUACGAGACUUGGCUACUACUAAUCUGCCUUGAUUACUAGUUAAGAACUGCGAGGCUGAACUUAUCUUAUUGGGGCAUCUAGUGUUCUUGUUCUACUAGAAUGGUGCAACAUGCUGACAUUAGGAAUUAAGGGAAUGCAUGAAGUCUAGUUUGUCUUUCUCCGAUAGUGUAUUUAAUUGACCUACGCAACUUGGGAAAGCUACUGGGCUGAAAUGAAGGUUAAACAAAUUCGAAAAAGUUUUGGGUUCACUGACUCAUGUUAAGUCUUAUUUGAAUUAAGGUGCUUCUUGUAAUUAGGUACACAUCAUACAUUUUUGCUGGUUGGAUAAUACUGGUGUACCACACUUCAAUAUAUUGCGCGCGCCGUUCUCAUAAUUCCAUCAUCUAUAUUAAUGCGCCCAUCAAACCUACUAUAAUUUUCCAGUCCCGGAAUUCUCCACAUUCUUAUACAUGCUACCGUCAGUUGAGCACAUUCGGUUCGUGCAUCUCCUGACAUGCCCCUUACUACUGGUAUUACGCUACAUACUAUUCCAAAUUUUGCUGCAACUCCAACAUCCGUUUCUAGAGAUCUUCGCUCUUACUUCCUUAUGAGUUAGCGCUUCUACCAUGUUCUUGCUACGAGACCUCCUUGGUCCGCUUCGGUUCUCAACUGUAAUACCCUGCCUACCAUACACGAUACCGAGUUGAUCGGGCUCAGCACAUAAUGAUUUCAGCGUAAACAGUUCAGACUCCAAAGGGUCCAUACUACUUUGAAUUGAAUUUUAAUGAUCCGCGACAAGGUCCGAUACUGAAUCGACCUGCUCUGAUACCAAUUAUAACAUCUCAUGUCAAUUUAUCUAGAAUAUCAACAAGAGUGUACAUAACUGAAUCGGGAACAUUAAUUUUUCACUACAUAAAGAUCAAAUACAUCAAUAGGAUUACUAUAAUCCACUAAAUGAAUACAUGAUUGAGCUAACUACUAAACUGAAAUUAACUGAAUCUUAUAUAAUAAUAAGAUUAACAUGAUGUCAGCUCCAUAACGUAAUCCACGCAUCUGAAUCUUUGUGCUAGCAAACCAGGAUAUCUCGAUCAACCNNNNNNNNNNNNNNNNNNNNNNNNNNNNNNNNNNNNNNNNNNNNNNNNNNNNNNNNNNNNNNNNNNNNNNNNNNNNNNCUAUUGGUAUUUACACCGGGGGCAACUAACGAACUAAUUGUUGAAGCAAAAUCCUUUUUGAUAUGUGUUUUAAUGACAACAAACCUUAUGAAAUAAAUGUUAAGUUUUAUGAAUGGUGAUCUACUGAUGGUUGCACUUGAGUUUUUGUUCAAAGACAAAUAAUGACAAAAGUGGACGAGCUAGAGACCGCUGACAUCAACAAGUGCAUUUUAUAUACUCAAACAAUGAAAGAAUUGAAGUAUCAUCAGAUAAUUACAACAGUAGUAUCACAAGUUUCAUGAAGAUUUUUAAAGACUGUUGUUUGAAUCAUACGAGGAUUCAUUGAACGUUCAAGCAAGAAAGUGAACUUCAUGGUUAAUAGUCUUCAUCUUCACCACAAGGUUUACAAUGGAAAUUAAAUAUUCAAGGAAGAUUAAGAGGAUCGUAGUUGAAGAAUCAAGAUGGAAAAACCUGCAUCACAAGCUACAAAAGAAUAUAUUUGAUGUUGUGUGACANNNNNNNNNNNNNNNNNNNNNNNNNNNNNNNNNNNNNNNNNNNNNNNNNNNNNNNNNNAGAAUGAUCUUCCACGAGGUUUUCAAAAGAGCUUAUGCACAAUGCAUAAAAGAUUAAUCAUUCUCAAUGAUGAGUACACUCACGCCUCCACUAAAUAAUCUUAAAGAUACUCAUUGAACAAGCAACAAUGUGUGCAAAACUUCAAAGAGGAAUUGUGGGAAGUUUGCAACAACAAAAGAAUUCAAAGUUGACUGAUCAAAGAAGAUAUUAUCUUCUCAUAAAGAAAAGAAAUAUUAUCAACUCUUAUGAAACAAUGUUCUCAUCAUGAACAUGUUUAUUUUCCUCAAGAGCAUUCAUAUCAGUUCAGCACAAUUACAAGAAUCAACUUUGAAGAAGAAAUCAUUUCAAAGGUUGAAUUAUAAGUUAGUAGAACGUUCUCAGAACGGUAUCCCAAGUUUGCGUGUUCAAGGAUAAUCACUUUUCAUAAGUCAACUUGGUACAAGACAAUAAUGAACUUUUAUAUGACAGUUAUUCCAAGGAUCAUAGCAGUGGAAUAAAUCAUAUAAGGCAACGAAUGAAUUAUGACUAGAGAACAUUCUCUUGUUGUCAUAUUCAAGGAGUUACAUGAACAUAUCUCUUGCCAAUGUUUAUGAUUCCCUCAUGGACAACUGGUGCUGUUAUUUAGACCAAUGAAAAUGCAGCAACAAAGAGUACAUACAACUUGCAAGGAAGCUUCACAUCUGAUCCAAGUACAAGAGUAUGACAAGGGUGGCUACAUUCUUCCAUAAAAGAAUAAUUCAUUUACUAUUCAUGUGUCCUUUGAAGGACAAGUGAACAGUUGCUACUCUAUGCCUUUGUUGAGUGUUUACAGCUGUUUGACAACUUGCAACAACUUGCAACAACUCAUUAAUUCAUUGGACCUUAUCCACACCACUUCAGAGAAUGGUCUCCAACAUCCUGGAGAAUGAUCUCCCAGGUUUUUGCACGUAUGUGGCAAUCUUAUCCAAAAGCAUUUCAAUCUGAUUUCCACACAUGGGGAAUAUGUUUGCAACAAAUAUAUACUCAGAAACAACUCAUUGACAGUUGGCUAAAGAAUAUUUCUGCCAUCAAGUACAAUGUGACAGUCAGAGACCAUCGGAAGAAUGAUCUCCUGAAGCAUUUAAAGGACAGAUUCACAUGGACUGUUUUGUUUCUCUCACAACAACUAUUUCUAUACUCUCAACGGUUAUAAUUGAUGUUCAAACUACAGAGGGACAUCUCCAUCUAUAAAUAGCAUGGUUGGUUGCACAAGNNNNNNNNNNNNNNNNNNNNNNNNNNNNNNNNNNNNNNNNNNNNNNNNNNNNNNNNNNNNNNNNNNNNNNNNNNNNNNNNNNNNNNNNNNNNNNNNNNNNNNNNNNNNNNNNNNNNNNNNNNNNNNNNNNNNNNNNNNNNNNNNNNNNNNNNNNNNNNNNNNNNNNNNNNNNNNUCAGCUUGUGAUAGCUGGGUACUUUGUGAUCUUGGUUUUAGAUCAUAAAGGGUCUUUGAUCUGGGCUUAGAUCAAAGGGAAGAAUUGUAAUCUGGAUGUAGAUUAUAGUGGAAAACUCACAGGCGUGGGGAUUGGACUAGCCCAGGAUUCGGGAGAACCAGUAUAACUUUUGUGUGUGAAUCUCUCUUACCUUUAACUAUUUAUUUUCUGUAAACACGCAUCACACAAACCACUUAAUUUACUUUCACUUUGAAUUCUAACACAGCAGAGAACAUUCUCCGAACACAUUAGAGAACAUUCUCCAAGCUGUUUUAUAUUUUACUAACAUUUAUCCAAGUAUCCACUUGAGAUCAAUUUUGUAGAGUGCAAGAUUAAAUUUUUAAAAGAGUCACAAUUCAAACCCCCCCUUUCUUGUGACUAUUUCUUCCACUUCACUAAUAUAGUUCUCUGAUCCUGAUAGUCAGUCCAUAACAUAAUUUUAUAACGUAAUUCAUAACAUAACAUGACAUAAUAUCAUAAAGGUGUAUCACAAAUUAUUAUCUUGUUCAUUUUAUUCAUAACAAAGACACUCUGAGGUGAGCUGGUCUCAGAGGCCUGACAUAUCCGUCUGCGAUAAUAAUAUACAUCGACACAGCUGAAGCUCACAAUCAUAACAUAAUUGGAUUAUACUGAAUCCCAUAACGUGGUACAAAAGUAACCACCAUGAUUGACUGACUUUCAUAACUUAACUUGCAAUCCUGAUUGUUAUCCUGCCCAUGAAUUCCCUUCCAAGGUAUUUCUAAAUUGUCCUGAUUCCUGAUACGUAAUUUCCUGAAGUGUGUUUGACGCUAUAAACGUAGUAUAUUAGUAUAUUGUCUAUGGAAAAGUUCCAGAAUAAAUAAGGGUUUAAAACGAGUGGCUAAGUUUGAAAAGUAGUAAUUAUGCAGUGUACUGUCCUGCUAUGCUCGCCUAGCGAAGUUAAUUCUCGUUUAGCGAAUACACCAGUUAAGUACUCUGUUUCGCAUUUUCUAUGUAAAUUCAUUAAAUUGCCACCUACAAUAACAAACCAUAUUCAUCCGGUCAUAGUCAUUAACCAAUAUCCAUCAUUUAUAGUAGAGGUGGACUUGGGGAUUUAAUCCACCUCACACACACAUUAUAGUCCUAAAAUNNNNNNNNNNNNNNNNNNNNNNNNNNNNNNNNNNNNNNNNNNNNNNNNNAUAUCUUAACUUACCUUCUAAACUAAUGUUGUCAUACAUAUUCUUGAUUUGGGGAAACUAUGGUACUAAACUAACUAGAGUUUAAGGCUCUAAGGGAACCCACCUGAAAUUAGAUGAACAAUUUCUUGAAUGAGUUUCAACUCUAAGCUUUGUUCCUUAUUCUUUAACUCCAAUUACUACAUCCAUUACUUGGUAAAAGGCUCAUAUGCAUAGACUGGAUGUGAAUCAGCAGGGAGUAACCACAACAACAUCCAGUAGCAGAACAUAACUGCUAUCCUCGCUUCUCGCUCGGCGAGACUCCACGAGCAGUCCAGAUUUUCCUGCACAAUUAAGCUACAGACCCUCCACUUUAAAAUCGUCCCCUGACCUUGAUAUUAAGCUAAAACCUACGAAGUUGGUACACAAAUCGAAAGGAAUUUCGUUAGCUUUCCAUAGCAACAAGCGGAUCUUAAAUCAGAGUUACAAAGAAGGAGCAGUUACCGGUUUAGGGAAGACAUGUCCAAAACACGAAUUUCCCUAGACUUAAUCCAAAAUUCCAACUUGAUUCCAUUCUAAAUUCUAAUUACAACUCACAUCUUUCUUCAAGCCUCAACCCCUUCUAAAUCAUUCAAGCUUCUAUCUUCCAACUUCAAGCUUUUCCAACCAACACCCAUUUAUUGACAUAAAUUAAAUGCAUGUACCAAACAUAGCAAAUUAGAAUUUGGGGUUAAGGAUUAUAAUUUUGGUCAUAGCAAGAAAAAGGAAGAAUAGAGUAGCUUACUAUUUCUCACCUUGAGUUUCCACCAUCCAUACCCUAUUAAUUGUGAAAAUCAACACAUGCAGCUAAGAAUUGAAAGUGGAAAUGGAAGCUCGGAGUGAGAGAGAUUCUGGCGUGAGAACAAGAGAGAGUUUGAGGGAAGUUUGUUGCUUUUCCUACUUUGUGAAGUUUAAGAAGAUGAAUGAGUUGUUGUUGUUGUCUUGCGUGUGAGAGAAAGAAGAGGUUUGCUGAGUAGUUGUCCUAACCUUGUGAAAGAGGGAAGUGUAUGAGUGGGUUUGAAUCUUGACUUAUGGUUUAAUGAGCGUGAGAGAGAGAGAGAGGGAGAUACAAGAAAAGUCAUUUUCUU